rnacentral:rRNA from 1 species
ACCAGCAGCCAUAUCACUCUGCAACUCACAACUGGCAACCCACUGAAGCUCAGCAGGUAUGAGUCUGGUCAGUACCUGGAUGGGAGACCUCCUGGGAAAAACUAAGGUUACUACUGAAA